GGGAGCUUUGGGGACGCACUUCUGGAUGCCUAGGCCUCUUCCGUUUGCCUCUGGGACUGGCGAUACUCGAGAUGUCUUGAGGCCUUCCAGACCUUGCUCCACCUCCACCACCAGGUCUCCAGUCCUGAGCCACAUGCUGCCAUUUUUGUCUCAGAAGCACCCCUCUUCCAGGUGGAAGAUUGAAGGUCUGAAGAGUGGGAAGUCCCAGGAACAGGCAAUUCCAGGAAGAUAUGAGGAAAAUCAAGAAAGAGAAGGAAACUGAAGCUAGUGGGAAGUGCUUCAAGUUGGAGAUGAUGCUGAGAUGGCCAAAAAGUGAGAGGUGGAAAACAUUUGGAGUGAGUUAAGGAGAGAACGCGAGGCAAGGAAGUGAAGCUGAUUUUCAAACCUGAGUGAAUGAAUGAAUAAACGGACCUGGGAAUUGAUCAACAAUGGCUGCUGCAUCGCGUAAAGAGAGACGACCAGGUGUCAGCUGGCUGUCAACUGAUCUAGGAUGGUCUUGGAGGGACAACGAGGGCAACCCCAUGUCUCUUCUUUAGCAGGCCAGCCCAGACAUGCUUUCAUGGCUGAAUAGGAGCCAGCCUGGUCAUGGGAGCAAUUUUCAAGCAAGUCUCUGCUUGAAUGUCACAUUUACUAACAUCCUGUUGGCCAAGGUGCAUCCCAUGGCUGAGCCCAGUGUCCAAGUGAAAGGGCACCAGGAAGUUCCCUGCAGCGCUGUGGGUACUGGAAGAAUGGGCGCCAUCUUCAUGACAGCAGCAUGCUAAGUUACAGAAAGUGAGCGGCGUUCUAGACAAAGCAAGCUCAUCUGUGAAUGGAUCAUGGCGGAAACCUGACCACAGUAUGUUGGGAUUUAUGUGUUUGACAUUUUCUAUAAUAGAAAGGCAGAUCAAAAAUAAGGCUCCAGUGCCUCCACUCAGGAAAGCUCAAGUAGGUUUUCUUGAGAAUUUUUAGUGGAUACCCUGUUUUGCAAUGUUCUUUUCUUUUUCUAAUGAGGCUGAACCAGAUUGUAAUGCCAUGAGGCUUCUACAUGGAGAGCUGGACGUUGGUGAGGAUUGGGUGGAGAAGGCCGGGUGGAGGCUGGGCCUGGGAGAAGAGCAGCAGAUUCCCAAACGUACUGGUAUUGGUGCAUACUCUGAGA
rnacentral:lncRNA from 10 species